rnacentral:lncRNA from 1 species
AAGAACCCACGUAGGGUUUAUCAUAAAGAUGUGCACAUAUUGCCAUACAAUCCAACCGAACCUCCAAAAAACCAAAUAUCAUGAGUAUACAUUCUCCGUACAACUCGCCGAAACCUCUGCAAAACCAAUAUCAUGUGGCAUAGAGUGUACAACAUGUUAUUUCUACAUCUUUCUUCCGCCAGUACAUCCCUUCAUACUCCACAUAUCGUUCAUAUUUAUGGUGGAAAUAUAACAAACAUUCGACUAAACAUAUUGUUAAUAACACAACACAAAUCUUACAAAGCAUAUCUAUCAAACUAUUUCAACGAUAACUUAUUCAAUAAUUAUUUUACCAGGGAAAGUUUAUCAAAACAAUGAAUUGAAACAUACAAUCAACAUGCAUAUGUAAAUCAUCACUUUGUAUACAACAACUAUACAACAAUCAGCCCACAAUAAUUCAUCUCAUCAUCAACAGAACAUGAAGUCAACCACAACACAAUAAAACAAUACUGAUAUAUAUAUAUAACAACCACAAAAGGUUUGAGUUUAGAAAAUACCUAAAGGUUGAUACCUAUUACUCCUGCUUAGCUUUUCCUUAUCACUUGAGCUUCUUCCUUAUCAGUUAGCUAAACAUAAUAACCGAUUUAAG